rnacentral:rRNA from 1 species
CGUAGGGUGCGAGCGUUAAUCGGAAUUACUGGGCGUAAAGCGUGCGCAGGCGGUUUUGUAAGACAGGCGUGAAAUCCCCGGGCUCAACCUGGGAACUGCGUUUGUGACUGCAAGGCUAGAGUAUGGCAGAGGGGGGUGGAAUUCCACGUGUAGCAGUGAAAUGCGUAGAGAUGUGGAGGAACACCGAUGGCGAAGGCAGCCCCCUGGGCCAAUACUGACGCUCAUGCACGAAAGCGCGGGUAGCAAACAGGAUUAGAUACCCUGGUAGUCCACGCCCUAAACGAUGUCAACUAGGUGUUGGGUGGGUAAAACCAUUUAGUACCGGAGCUAACGCGUGAAGUUGACCGCCUGGGGAGUACGGCCGCAAGGUUA